ACCUUCAGACGUCGACGGAAACCGUGUGGCUAGAGUCCGGAAGAGGAGAGUGGAAUUCCUGGUGUAGCGGUGAAAUGCGCAGAUAUCAGGAAGAACACCAAUGGCGAAGGCAGCUCUCUGGGACGGUACUGACGCUGAGACGCGAAAGCGUGGGGAGCGAACAGGAUUAGAUACCCUGGUAGUCCACGCCGUAAACGAUGGGUGCUAGGUGUGGGAGGUGUCGACUCCUUCCGUGCCGCAGCUAACGCAUUAAGCACCCCGCCUGGGGGGUACGGCCGCAAGGCUAAAACUCAAAGGAAUUGACGGGGCCCCGCACAAGCAGCGGAGCAUGUGGUUUAAUUCGAUGCAACGCGAAGAACCUUACCAGGGCUUGACAUGGUCGGGAAAACCGUAGAAAUACGGUCCUCCU
rnacentral:rRNA from 1 species